rnacentral:rRNA from 1 species
UGGCGACCGGCGCACGGGUGAGUAACACGUAUCCAACCUGCCGUCUACUCUUGGACAGCCUUCUGAAAGGAAGAUUAAUACAAGAUGGCAUCAUGAGUCCGCAUGUUCACAUGAUUAAAGGUAUUCCGGUAGACGGUGGGGAUGCGUUCCAUUAGGUUGUUGGCGGGGUAACGGCCCACCAAGCCUUCGAUGGAUAGGGGUUCUGAGAGGAAGGUCCCCCACAUUGGAACUGAGACACGGUCCAAACUCCUACGGGAGGCAGCAUG